GUGCUUGUUUCAGCAGCACAUAUACUAAAAUUGGAACAACACAGAGAAGAUUAGCAUGGCCCCUAUGCAAGGAUGAGAAUGCUUGCUUGCUUGAAUAGAAUGUAUAA